AUGGUUGUGUCUUGGAUCUUAAAUUCCAUAUCAAAAGACCUCUUGAGGCAUUUUUAUGUACUACUUGUGCCCGAGAUGAUCUUUGGGAAGAGUUAGAACAGCAUUUUGGUGAAAGCAAUGGGCCUCUAUUAUAUCAGAUUAAAAGAGAUAUAUCUGAAUUCAGCCCAGGCAAUUUUUCUGUGACAGUUUAUUUCACUAAAUUGAAGAAGUUAUGCAAUGAGCGGUCUUGUUUACAUCAGUAUCCAGUUUGCAAUUGUGGAGCAGCUAAGACUAUAGCUAACAUUGAGAAUGAAGAUAAACUUCUUCAGUUUCUAAUGGGAUUUUAAUGAAAAUCACAAUCAAGUGAAAAAUGAGAUUUUGUUGAUGUAUCCCUUUCCCUGUGUAUGACAGGAAACAUAUACAAGAGAAU
rnacentral:misc_RNA from 1 species